rnacentral:lncRNA from 1 species
AUGGAAUCGAAGACGAAACCCACACCAGAACACAAGGACAGCGUCGUCGUUCACCUCUAUGCGAGCGAGCGUUUCAGUCACCUUCUUUCUUCACAGAACCCCGUGUCAGAAGACAAAAAACACUACACUCAAACAAUUAAGAUUUACACAAAGAAACUGAAAGAUAUAGAACCUGGAUUUGAAGAAGACAUAUUUAGAGAGUCGGAGAUGAGGCUGCUAAACUAUUUUUCUGAUUGA